rnacentral:rRNA from 1 species
AUCCUACGGGACGCAGCAGUAGGGAAUUUUCGGCAAUGGGGGGAACCCUGACCGAGCAACGCCGCGUGAACGAGGAAGGUCUUCGGAUCGUAAAGUUCUGUUGAAGGGGAAAAAGAGCGGAGAGAGGAAAUGCUUUCUGAUUGAUAUUACCCUUCGAGGAAGUCACGGCUAACUACGUGCCAGCAGCCGCGGUAAUACGUAGGUGGCGAGCGUUAUCCGGAAUGAUUGGGCGUAAAGGGUGCGUAGGCGGCCUGCUAAGUCUGGAGUGAAAGGUACCGGCUCAACCGGUACAGGCUCUGGAAACU